AGUGAACGCUGGCGGCAGGCCUAAUACAUGCAAGUCGAACGGCAGCACAGCAGAGCUUGCUCUGUGGGUGGCGAGUGGCGGACGGGUGAGGAAUACGUGGGAAUCUGCCCAGUCGUGGGGGAUAACGUAGGGAAACUUACGCUAAUACCGCAUGCGCCCUUCGGGGAAAGCCGGGGACCUUCGGGCCUGGCGCGAUUGGAUGAGCCCACGUCGGAUUAGCUAGUUGGCGGGGUAAAGGCCCACCAAGGCGACGAUCCGUAGCUGGUCUGAGAGGAUGAUCAGCCACACUGGAACUGAGACACGGUCCAGACUCCUACGGGAGGCAGCAGUAGGGAAUAUUGGACAAAUGGGCGCAAGCCUGAUCCAGCCAUGCCGCGUGAGUGAAGAAGGCCCUCGGGUUGUAAAGCUCUUUGUUCCGGAAAGAAAAGACGCCGGGUUAAGUAACCCUGGUG
rnacentral:rRNA from 1 species